GUAGGUUUGUGUGUAUAAAGUGUGUCUCUCUGCAGGUGUAGGUUUGUGUGUAUAAAGUGUGUGUCUCUGCAGGUGUAGGUUUGUGUGUAUAAAGUGUGUCUCUCUGCAGGUGUAGGUUUGUGUGUAUAAAGUGUGUCUCUCUGCAGGUGUAGGUUUGUGUGUAUAAAGUGUGUGUCUCUGCAGGUGUAGGUUUGUGUGUAUAAAGUGUGUCUCUCUGCAGGUGUAGGUUUGUGUGUAUAAAGUGUCUCUCUCUGCAGGUGUAGGUUUGUGUGUAUAAAGUGUGUCUCUGCAGGUGUAGGUUUGUGUGUAUAAAGUGUGUGUGUCUCUGCAGGUGUAGGUUUGUGUGUAUAAAGUGUGUGUCUCUGCAGGUGUAGGUUUGUGUGUAUAAAGUGUCUCUCUCUGCAGGUGUAGGUUUGUGUGUAUAAAGUGUCUCUCUCUGCAGGUGUAGGUUUGUGUGUAUAAAGUGUCUCUCUCUGCAGGUGUAGGUUUGUGUGUAUAAAGUGUGUGUCUCUGCAGGUGUAGGUUUGUGUGUAUAAAGUGUGUGUCUCUGCAGGUGUAGGUUUGUGUGUAUAAAGUGUGUCUCUCUGCAGGUGUAGGUUUGUGUGUAUAAAGUGUGUGUCUCUGCAGGUGUAGGUUUGUGUGUAUAAAGUGUGUCUCUCUGCAGGUGUAGGUUUGUGUGUAUAAAGUGUGUGUCUCUGCAGGUGUAGGUUUGUGUGUAUAAAGUGUGUCUCUCUGCAGGUGUAGGUUUGUGUGUAUAAAGUGUGUGUCUCUGCAGGUGUAGGUUUGUGUGUAUAAAGUGUGUGUCUCUGCAGGUGUAGGUUUGUGUGUAUAAAGUGUGUCUCUCUGCAGGUGUAGGUUUGUGUGUAUAAAGUGUGUGUCUCUGCAGGUGUAGGUUUGUGUGUAUAAAGUGUCUCUCUCUGCAGGUGUAGGUUUGUGUGUAUAAAGUGUCUCUCUGCAGGUGUAGGUUUGUGUGUAUAAAGUGUGUCUCUGCAGGUGUAGGUUUGUGUGUAUAAAGUGUGUCUCUCUGCAGGUGUAGGUUUGUGUGUAUAAAGUGUGUCUCUCUGCAGGUGUAGGUUUGUGUGUAUAAAGUGUGUCUCUCUGCAGGUGUAGGUUUGUGUGUAU